GCACAUAGAUUGCGAACAGGAGAAAAAAAAUCAUUCUAAGUGCAACUGAUAAAAAAUAAAUGUUACUUUAUUGAAUUGUAUUUUUGCUGUCAUAAAUUUAGAGUGCUGCAACAUAAAAAUUAACCCUGUCAACAUAAAAUCCAAGCAUAAACAUAACAAACGAGAAACGGACAUGGCGCGCUGGAGACGCACAUGUUGUCGCAGAAAAUUGCGGAAUUUUGUUUUCGAACAUGAUGCUCAAAGCAUUAAAUUUGCAACUUGGUUGGCAUUGGCUGUUUUUGAAGAAUUGCACGGGACGUCGACCGCUUCUCCACCGUCACCAAGGACGAACAAUUUGGGUGGGAGCUGCUGGACGACGCGGAGGUACCGGAAGAGCGCUGAGAUACGCGAAUAGAAUCGAUCCUAGCGGAGCUCCUUGGACCACCAACUUUGUCGGUCGUGGCAUCAGCGGAUCAUCUGGACCAUCAUUUACGUUAGCUAGUGGCGUAAGUGGUGUGAAUUGUCCAGCUAGACACAGCGCUAAUCCCCCUCGAAUUAACAAGUACAUCGACC